UACGGGGGGGGGUAAGCGUUGUUCGGAAUUACUGGGCGUAAAGGGCUCGUAGGCGGCCAACUAAGUCAGACGUGAAAUCCCUCAGCUUAACUGGGGAGCUGCGUCCGAUACUGGAUGGCUUGGAUUCGGGAGAGGGAUGCGGAAUUCCCGGUGUAGCGGUGAAAUGCGCAGAGAUCGGGAGGAACACCCGUAGCGAAGGCGGCGCUCUGGGCCGGUACUGACGCUGAGGAGCGAAAGCGUGGGGAGCAAACAGG
rnacentral:rRNA from 1 species